rnacentral:lncRNA from 13 species
CUCUGUGUUGUCCAACAGGAGGAUCUGUGAGGUGAUUGGUAACUCUGUGUGUCCUCUGUGUUGUCCAACAGGAGGAUCUGUGAGGUGAUUGGUAACUCUGUGUGUCCUCUGUGUUGUCCAACAGGAGGAUCUGUGAGGUGAUUGGUAACUCUGUGUGUCCUCUGUGUUGUCCAACAGGAGGAUCUGUGAGGUGAUUGGUAACUCUGUGUGUCCUCUGUGUUGUCCAACAGGAGGAUCUGUGAGGAGGAUCUGUGAGGUGAUUGGUAACUCUGUGUGUCCUCUGUGUUGUCCAACAGGAGGAUCUGUGAGGAGGAUCUGUGAGGUGAUUGGUAACUCUGUGUGUCCUCUGUGUUGUCCAACAGGAGGAUCUGUGAGGUGAUU